ensembl:antisense Gm3235 predicted gene 3235
UACACCUGACGCUCUUCCUGCACACAGCCUCUGACUCUUCCUGCCAGUGGGCAUUUUCUGCAGACACCCAGGGCAUGAGUCAGCAAAAGGUAGCCAAUGCCCGAACCCAGGCCCGGAUUCUACCCUGAACUAGCUGGCACCCUGCAGGAGGAUGGCAGCAUCUUACUCUUCUCUCACUGUGGCCUGCCUGCUUUCUUCAUCCUUGGAGGUCAUGGGAGCCGGCUCAUCUUCAGUGUAUUACUGAGCCUCUGUGGUGCCUGGUCCUGUGUCUGGGCUCUAUUCUGCCGAGGAUGGAGAGCGCAUGGACAGAAGAGCUGCCUUUUACAUCCAUUCGCAGGUUCUAAGUCAGCCACACCACAGGUUCCUGUGCAGGGAAGCCUCUGUUUACAGGGAAUGAGACCCUAAAAAGUGGGUCUGGUAAACAGACCAUCUCAAAGGUCCCUAAGGAGAUGUGGCUUUAGUACUGUGAUUUCCUGAAGACCGACCAUCCAUUGACUAAGGCUUCUUGUGUGGUGGGUCUAUCUGCAUGGCAUUCCUUAGAUGAAUUCUGCAGAUGGAUGUAGCCUCGCCCAGAGCACAGUUCAUCCCCACCCACUGCGUUAACCCUAUGGGCCAGGCUUGGUUGGAGGUUGGAGUAGGGAGAUCAGGAAUUCAAAGUCAUCAUUAGUUAGAAGGUUUUAGGCUACCCUGAGCUC